CCUACGGGAGGCAGCAGUGAGGAAUAUUGGUCAAUGGACGGAAGUCUGAACCAGCCAUGCCGCGUGCAGGAAGACGGCCCUAUGAGUUGUAAACUGCUUUUGUACAAGGGUAAACCUGAAUACGUGUAUUCAGCUGAAAGUACUGUACGAAUAAGGAUCGGCUAACUCCGUACCAGCAGCCGCGGUAAUACGGCGGAUCCAAGCGUUAUCCGGAUUUAUUGGGUUUAAAGGGUGCGUAGGCGGAUUGUUAAGUUAGAGGUGAAAUGUCCGGGCUUAACCCGGGAACUGCCUCUAAUACUGUUGAGCUAGAGAGUAGAUGCGGUAGGCAGAAUGUAUGGUGUAGCGGUGAAAUGCGUAGAGAUCAUACAGAACACCGAUUGCGAAGGCAGCUUACCAAUCUAUAUCUGACGUUGAGGCACGAAAGCGUGGGGAGCAAACAGGAUUAGAUACCCGAGUAGUC
rnacentral:rRNA from 1 species